UGGCUCAGUUCAGAUCGUAGGCUGCAACUCGCCUACGUGAAGGCGGAAUCGCUAGUAAUCGCAGGUCAGCAUACUGCGGUGAAUACGUUCCCGGGCCUUGUACACACCGCCCGUCACACCAUGGAAGUUGGCCACGCCCGAAGCCGUUACUCCAACCCUUGUGGAGGAGGACGUCGAAGGUGGGGCUGAUGACUGGGGUGAAGUCGUAACAAGGUAUCCGUACCGGAAGGUGCGGAUGGAUCACCUCCUAACAGGGAGACAACACAAUGAUUUUGAUGCCUGAGUGCUUUUAUUCUUAGGCCGAAAUCCUGUCACCUUAGGUCGAUCGGUACCUCAGCUUUGAAGUCAAGGAUCAGCAGCAAUGUUGAUUGCUUGAUGGAGAUUUUCAGUUCCUAAACUUUGUCUAGGUCACACCCCAAAAGGGAUGAGACUCCUGGGCCAUUAGCUCAGGUGGUUAGAGCGCACCCCUGAUAAGGGUGAGGUCCCUGGUUCAAGUCCAGGAUGGCCCAUAUCUCUAUGUUGGGGGUAUAGCUCAGUUGGUAGAGCGCCUGCUUUGCAAGCAGGAUGUCAGCGGUUCGAGUCCGCUUACCUCCACUGAUUACCACCUCUUCCAUAAUCUGUAGAAAGGAAAAUUUUGAGUUGUGAUCAAAUUCUGAACGAAUCUAGCUUCCUAAUGAAAGCAUUAAGAUGCUGGACUCAUUGAAUUAUUUUCAUUGUUUUCAGAGAACCUUGACAACUGCA
rnacentral:misc_RNA from 1 species